UACGAAGGGGGCUAGCGUUGUUCGGAAUUACUGGGCGUAAAGCGCGCGCAGGCGGUCUUCCAAGUCAGUGGUGAAAGCCCGGAGCUCAACUCCGGAAAUGCCAUUGAAACUGUGAAGCUUGAGAACGAGAGAGGUGAGUGGAAUUCCCAGUGUAGAGGUGAAAUUCGUAGAUAUUGGGAAGAACACCAGUGGCGAAGGCGGCUCACUGGCUCGUAACUGACGCUCAUGCACGACAGCGUGGGGAUCAAACAGG
rnacentral:rRNA from 1 species